UACAGAGGUCUCAAGCGUUGUUCGGAUUCAUUGGGCGUAAAGGGUGCGUAGGUGGCGAGGUUAGUCAGGUGUGAAAUCUCGGGGCUCAACCCCGAAACUGCACUUGAUACUGCCUUGCUAGAGUACUGGAGAGGAGAUUGGAAUUUACGGUGUAGCAGUGAAAUGCGUAGAUAUCGUAAGGAAGACCAGUGGCGAAGGCGGCUCACUGGCCCGGUACUGACGCUGAUGUGCGAAAGCGUGGGGAGCAAACAGG
rnacentral:rRNA from 1 species